GUGAAUCAUCAAAUUUUUGAACGCAAAUUGCACUCUCUUCGGAGAGUAUGCCUGUUUGAGGGUCAGCCUAUAAAAAAUCGACAUCGUUGCUGUUUCGCGGUGACGUUCGUCGGAAAUUGGGUCAUCUUAAAUCUUUGUGGUUUUAAGCGACUUAAAUUUUUCUUUUUGGUUCACUGAACGUUCCUAAGAUUUAUUUCUUUACACGUUUAAGGGUAUCGAUUUUUUUUAGACGUGAGCUGCAUAUCGUCUCGCGUCUAUAA
rnacentral:misc_RNA from 1 species